UGCCAGACUCCUACGGGAGGCAGCAGUGAGGAAUAUUGGUCAAUGGGCGCGAGCCUGAACCAGCCAAGUCGCGUGAGGGAGGACGGCCCUACGGGUUGUAAACCUCUUUUGCCGGGGAGCAACGGGCGUCACGUGUGGCGCCACUGAGAGUACCCGGAGAAAAAGCAUCGGCUAACUCCGUGCCAGCAGCCGCGGUAAUACGGAGGAUGCGAGCGUUAUCCGGAUUUAUUGGGUUUAAAGGGAGCGUAGGCCGGUCUUUAAGCGUGCCGUGAAAUUUUGUGGCUCAACCAUGAGAGUGCGGCGCGAACUGGAGACCUUGAGUGCGCGGAAGGCAGGCGGAAUUCGUGGUGUAGCGGUGAAAUGCUUAGAUAUCACGAAGAACCCCGAUUGCGAAGGCAGCCUGCCGCAGCGUUACUGACGCUGAAGCUCGAAAGCGCGGGUAUCGAACAGGAUUAGAUACCCCGGUACGA
rnacentral:rRNA from 1 species